UACAGAGGGGGCAAGCGUUGUUCGGAAUUACUGGGCGUAAAGGGCGCGUAGGCGGCCUUCUAAGUCGAACGUGAAAUCCCCGGGCUCAACCCGGGAACUGCGUCCGAUACUGGAAGGCUUGAAUCCGGGAGAGGGAUGCGGAAUUCCAGGUGUAGCGGUGAAAUGCGUAGAUAUCUGGAAGAACACCAAAGGCGAAGGCAGCGUCCUGGGAAGUAACUGACGCUCAGGUGCGAAAGCCAGGGGAGCGAACGGG
rnacentral:rRNA from 1 species